UAAGGAAUAUUGGUCAAUGGACGCAAGUCUGAACCAGCCAUGCCGCGUGAAGGAUUAAGGUCCUCUGGAUUGUAAACUUCUUUUAUAUGGGACGAAAAAAGGACAUUCUUGUCCGUCUGACGGUACCAUAUGAAUAAGCACCGGCUAACUCCGUGCCAGCAGCCGCGGUAAUACGGAGGGUGCAAGCGUUAUCCGGAUUCACUGGGUUUAAAGGGUGCGUAGGCGGGCAGGUAAGUCAGUGGUGAAAUCCUGGAGCUUAACUCCAGAACUGCCAUUGAUACUAUCUGUCUUGAAUAUUGUGGAGGUAAGCGGAAUAUGUCAUGUAGCGGUGAAAUGCUUAGAUAUGACAUAGAACACCUAUUGCGAAGGCAGCUUACUACGCAUAUAUUGACGCUGAGGCACGAAAGCGUGGGGAUCAAACA
rnacentral:rRNA from 1 species